UGCGUGGUUCGGCCGAAUUCGAUAGCAUCGCGACAAUGAGGUGAGUUUUAUGGCACUUUCUGCCGACGAGAAAGCACAGAUCGUUAAGGAUUUUCAGCAGGGUGAU
rnacentral:ncRNA from 3 species